rnacentral:tRNA from 1 species
GUCCUCGUAGUACAACGGAUAGUACAACCGCCUCCUAAGCGGUAGAUCCAGGUUCGAUUCCUGGCGAGGGCACCA